CCCCCCCAAAAAUGGAGGAUUGAAGGAUUGAUAUGAGACUUAUCCAUUACUGGAGGUUCCAAUGAAGGUAGAGGGUCCUAGACACACUGUAGACAAGCCAAAGCAUCCAUGCCUGCACAAACCAGUCCGUGUCCCUGGGAAACUCGCUCAGCCAAGGCAACAGGGGACCCUCUGCCUGAGAGCCUCCCUGCCAGAAAAACUAAUCAGCCUCAGGAUCCAGGCUUCUUUCAGGGCCAGUUUCACUACAAGAAUAAUCUGCCUCACACAAACGCCAGUUGGGUCUGCAGACCUCGAGUACUCCAGCAGACUUGUUUCUGCCCACCAACUGUCUGCUGUUACCAAGACGGAGACAUGGGGCCAAAAUGAGUGGACCCAGCAGAAGCCUGCCAGCUGGAGGAAGAAGACAUGGAUGUGGAAAGUUAUGAGGUUCAGCAGAAAAAAUCCUGUUAGAUCAAUUUGAUACUGGGAAACUGAUCUGCAUUUUGGUUCUUGUAACAGUAAAGCAAGUCUGUACAUCUGUGUUUUCAGUUUAUGUUGCAAUUUAACUUACUCUUUGAAUUGGCAUGGCAUCAUCUCAUAUGUACACUAAACUUUAGCCCAUUACAUAUGUUUGUUCUCCAAAAUAUCAGCUUAAUAUAGUCAUUAUAUAUUAAAUACAUUAUUUGUAUGCAGAGAUAUGAAGGAAUAAAUUACAACCCAAAAAGAUGCUCAGCAUUUGCUAA